rnacentral:rRNA from 1 species
GGGUUGUGAGGUUAAGCGACUAAGCGUACACGGUGGAUGCCCUGGCAGUCAGAGGCGAUGAAGGACGUGCUAAUCUGCGAUAAGCGUCGGUAAGGUGAUAUGAACCGUUAUAACCGGCGAUUUCCGAAUGGGGAAACCCAGUGUGAUUCGUCACACUAUCAUUAACUGAAUCCAUAGGUUAAUGAGGCGAACCGGGGGAACUGAAACAUCUAAGUACCCCGAGGAAAAGAAAUCAACCGAGAUUCCCCCAGUAGCGGCGAGCGAACGGGGAGGAGCCCAGAGCCUGAAUCAGUGUGUGUGUUAGUGGAAGCGUCUGGAAAGGCGCGCGAUACAGGGUGACAGCCCCGUACACAAAAAUGCACAUGCUGUGAGCUCGAUGAGUAGGGCGGGACACGUGGUAUCCUGUCUGAAUAUGGGGGGACCAUCCUCCAAGGCUAAAUACUCCUGACUGACCGAUAGUGAACCAGUACCGUGAGGGAAAGGCGAAAAGAACCCCGGCGAGGGGAGUGAAAAAGAACCUGAAACCGUGUACGUACAAGCAGUGGGAGCACAGAGCAAUCUGUGUGACUGCGUACCUUUUGUAUAAUGGGUCAGCGACUUAUAUUCUGUAGCAAGGUUAACCGAAUAGGGGAGCCGAAGGGAAACCGAGUCUUAACCGGGCGUUAAGUUGCAGGGUAUAGACCCGAAACCCGGUGAUCUAGCCAUGGGCAGGUUGAAGGUUGGGUAACACUAACUGGAGGACCGAACCGACUAAUGUUGAAAAAUUAGCGGAUGACUUGUGGCUGGGGGUGAAAGGCCAAUCAAACCGGGAGAUAGCUGGUUCUCCCCGAAAGCUAUUUAGGUAGCGCCUCGUGAAUUCAUCUCCGGGGGUAGAGCACUGUUUCGGCAAGGGGGUCAUCCCGACUUACCAACCCGAUGCAAACUGCGAAUACCGGAGAAUGUUAUCACGGGAGACACACGGCGGGUGCUAACGUCCGUCGUGAAGAGGGAAACAACCCAGACCGCCAGCUAAGGUCCCAAAGUCAUGGUUAAGUGGGAAACGAUGUGGGAAGGCCCAGACAGCCAGGAUGUUGGCUUAGAAGCAGCCAUCAUUUAAAGAAAGCGUAAUAGCUCACUGGUCGAGUCGGCCUGCGCGGAAGAUGUAACGGGGCUAAACCAUGCACCGAAGCUGCGGCAGCGACACUGUGUGUUGUUGGGUAGGGGAGCGUUCUGUAAGCCUGUGAAGGUGUACUGUGAGGUAUGCUGGAGGUAUCAGAAGUGCGAAUGCUGACAUAAGUAACGAUAAAGCGGGUGAAAAGCCCGCUCGCCGGAAGACCAAGGGUUCCUGUCCAACGUUAAUCGGGGCAGGGUGAGUCGACCCCUAAGGCGAGGCCGAAAGGCGUAGUCGAUGGGAAACAGGUUAAUAUUCCUGUACUUGGUGUUACUGCGAAGGGGGGACGGAGAAGGCUAUGUUGGCCGGGCGACGGUUGUCCCGGUUUAAGCGUGUAGGCUGGUUUUCCAGGCAAAUCCGGAAAAUCAAGGCUGAGGCGUGAUGACGAGGCACUACGGUGCUGAAGCAACAAAUGCCCUGCUUCCAGGAAAAGCCUCUAAGCAUCAGGUAACAUCAAAUCGUACCCCAAACCGACACAGGUGGUCAGGUAGAGAAUACCAAGGCGCUUGAGAGAACUCGGGUGAAGGAACUAGGCAAAAUGGUGCCGUAACUUCGGGAGAAGGCACGCUGAUAUGUAGGUGAAGUCCCUCGCGGAUGGAGCUGAAAUCAGUCGAAGAUACCAGCUGGCUGCAACUGUUUAUUAAAAACACAGCACUGUGCAAACACGAAAGUGGACGUAUACGGUGUGACGCCUGCCCGGUGCCGGAAGGUUAAUUGAUGGGGUCAGCGCAAGCGAAGCUCUUGAUCGAAGCCCCGGUAAACGGCGGCCGUAACUAUAACGGUCCUAAGGUAGCGAAAUUCCUUGUCGGGUAAGUUCCGACCUGCACGAAUGGCGUAAUGAUGGCCAGGCUGUCUCCACCCGAGACUCAGUGAAAUUGAACUCGCUGUGAAGAUGCAGUGUACCCGCGGCAAGACGGAAAGACCCCGUGAACCUUUACUAUAGCUUGACACUGAACAUUGAGCCUUGAUGUGUAGGAUAGGUGGGAGGCUUUGAAGUGUGGACGCCAGUCUGCAUGGAGCCGACCUUGAAAUACCACCCUUUAAUGUUUGAUGUUCUAACGUGGACCCGUGAUCCGGGUUGCGGACAGUGUCUGGUGGGUAGUUUGACUGGGGCGGUCUCCUCCUAAAGAGUAACGGAGGAGCACGAAGGUUGGCUAAUCCUGGUCGGACAUCAGGAGGUUAGUGCAAUGGCAUAAGCCAGCUUGACUGCGAGCGUGACGGCGCGAGCAGGUGCGAAAGCAGGUCAUAGUGAUCCGGUGGUUCUGAAUGGAAGGGCCAUCGCUCAACGGAUAAAAGGUACUCCGGGGAUAACAGGCUGAUACCGCCCAAGAGUUCAUAUCGACGGCGGUGUUUGGCACCUCGAUGUCGGCUCAUCACAUCCUGGGGCUGAAGUAGGUCCCAAGGGUAUGGCUGUUCGCCAUUUAAAGUGGUACGCGAGCUGGGUUUAGAACGUCGUGAGACAGUUCGGUCCCUAUCUGCCGUGGGCGCUGGAGAACUGAGGGGGGCUGCUCCUAGUACGAGAGGACCGGAGUGGACGCAUCACUGGUGUU